CCUACGGGAGGCAGCAGUGGGGAAUAUUGCACAAUGGGGGGAACCCUGAUGCAGCGACGCCGCGUGAGUGAAGAAGUAUUUCGGUAUGUAAAGCUCUAUCAGCAGGGAAGAAAAUGACGGUACCUGACUAAGAAUCUCCGGCUAACUACGUGCCAGCAGCCGCGGUAAUACGUAGGGGGCAAGCGUUAUCCGGAUUUACUGGGUGGAAAGGGAGCGCAGACGGCUGUGCAAGUCUGGAGUGAAAGGCGGGGGCCCAACCCCCGGACUGCUCUGGAAACCGUAACGCUGGAGUGCAGGAGAGGUAAGUGGAAUUCCUAGUGUAGCGGUGAAAUGCGUAGAUAUUAGGAGGAACACCAGUGGCGAAGGCAGCCUACUAAACUGCCACUGACAUUGAUGCUCGAAAGUGUGGGUAUCAAACAGGAUUAGAUACCCUAGUAGUC
rnacentral:rRNA from 1 species